GCAAAGGAAAAACAGUUCGCCAUUUUCUCUCUUGCUUUGGAUGCUUUGGAUGCAACGCUAAAAUUUGAAGAUAUGAGAUUCACCUAGUCAAGUGCAAUUUGACUUGCAAAUGCUCUAUAGAAGUGGAUGCAGGAUGAUGAUGAAGCCUUCAUCCAAAAAUCCACAGAGGAGACCACAGUGGGAAUCUACAUUCUCAAAUUCCGUGACAGAUCAGAUGACAUCGGGAUUAUUCUGGAAGGCCAGAACAUCUUGCAAGGCUUGGACAACUUUGCGUUAGCUAUGGCAAUGCUUUUUGGUCUUAUGUAUGCCUUAAAUCUCAACUACCCACCUGAAAUGAAAAAUACAUUUGAGGUACUGCAGAAGAUAGUCUUCUGUUUUUUAAUAACUUCAUACUGUUCGCUUACUUCUGUAGCACAUACAUAAAAAUGAGUUGUACUCUUAAAAGAAAUUUCUUAAAAGAAAUUGACUUCUUAUGAUUUUAAAAUUGAAAACAAAAAUGUCAAGGUAUGCUUUUGACAACUUGAUAUUGUUCACCUUUUCCUCUACACCUGUUUGACGGUGUAUUUGUCUUAAUGUUUGUUUUGUUGCAGUUACUGUAUGAAUGGUUAUUACUGUUCACCUUUUCCACUACAUGUUUGACUGUGCAUUGUCUUUUACUUGAAGUGAUGAAUAAAUGAAAUGAGUAAAGUGAU